GCCCAGUGCAGUGGUGUGUGCCUGUAGUCCCAGCUACUCGGGAGGCUGAGGCAGGAAGAUCACUUGAGCUCAGGAGUUCUGGGCUAUAGUGCGCUAUGUGAUGGGGGGUCCGCACUAAGUUCAGCAUCAUUAUGGUGACCUUCCCGGAGCGGGGGACCAUUAGAUUACCUAAGGAGUGGUGAAUCGGCCCAGGUCAAAAACUGAACAGGUCAUAACUCCCGUGCUGAUCAGUAGUGGGAUCGCGCCAAUGAAGAGCCACUGCACUCCAGACUGGGCAACAUAGCGAGACCCCAUCUCU
ensembl:misc_RNA Metazoa_SRP Metazoan signal recognition particle RNA